rnacentral:rRNA from 1 species
GAUGAACGCUGGCGGCGUGCCUAAUACAUGCAAGUCGAGCGAACAGACGAGGAGCUUGCUCCUCUGACGUUAGCGGCGGACGGGUGAGUAACACGUGGAUAACCUACCUAUAAGACUGGGAUAACUUCGGGAAACCGGAGCUAAUACCGGAUAAUAUAUUGAACCGCAUGGUUCAAUAGUGAAAGACGGUUUUGCUGUCACUUAUAGAUGGAUCCGCGCCGCAUUAGCUAGUUGGUAAGGUAACGGCUUACCAAGGCAACGAUGCGUAGCCGACCUGAGAGGGGGAUCGGCCACACUGGAACUGAGAAACGGUCCAGACUCCUACGGGAGGCAGCAGUAGGGAAUCUUCCGCAAUGGGCGAAAGCCUGACGGAGCAACGGCGCGGGAGUGAUGAAGGUCUUCGGAUCGUAAAACUCUGUUAUUAGGGAAGAACAAAUGUGUAAGUAACUAUGCACGUCUUGAAGGUACCUAAUCAGAAAGCCACGGCUAACUACGUG